rnacentral:misc_RNA from 1 species
GAUGAAGAACGUAGCGAAAUGCGAUAAGUAGUGUGAAUUGCAGAAUUCAGUGAAUCAUCGAAUCUUUGAACGCACAUUGCGCCCUUUGGUAUUCCAAAGGGCAUGCCUGUUCGAGCGUCAUUUGUACCCUCAAGCUUUGCUUGGUGUUGGGCGUCUUGUCUCUAGCUUUGCUGGAGACUCGCCUUAAAGUAAUUGGCAGCCGGCCUACUGGUUUCGGAGCGCAGCACAAGUCGCACUCUCUAUCAGCAAAGGUCUAGCAUCCAUUAAGCCUUUUUUUCAACUUUUGACCUCGGAUCAGGUAGGGAUACCAGCUGAACUUAAGCAUAUCAAUAAGCGGAGGA